UUUACCCCAUCUCCACCCCGUCCCCGGCGGGUUUUCAAAACUUACCCCAUCCCCAUCCUCGUUUACAUAAAAGGGUCCCCAUCCCUGCGCGGGGAGGGGGAAUUUGCCAUCCCUACUUCAGUUUCCAUAGCUGUUCCAGUUUGGGUUCGCCGUUCGCAAGCUUCAGCCUCUAUCCCGCUGUCUCUCAACUCUCAAGCCCUCUCUCUCUGGAAUUGCUAACUUGUGCAUUUCAUCAAUUGGCUUCAUUUCUUCAAACUAUGUGAUAUACCCAAAAGUCUUCCAAAGGGGCUGGGAAAAGACAACGACGGAAGCGUCAAUUGCAUGGCCUAUCA